CAGCAGCCGCGGUAAUACGAAGGGUGCAAGCGUUAAUCGGAAUUACUGGGCGUAAAGCGUGCGUAGGCGGUUUGUUAAGUCUGUUGUGAAAUCCCCGGGCUCAACCUGGGAAUGGCAAUGGUUACUGGCAAGCUAGAGUGUGUCAGAGGAUGGUGGAAUUCCCGGUGUAGCGGUGAAAUGCGUAGAGAUCGGAAGGAACAUCUGUGGCGAAGGCGACUAUCUGGGCCAUUACUGACACUGAGGCACGAAAGCGUGGGGAGCAAACAGGAUUAGAUACCCCUGUAGUCCCUGUCUCUUAUAA
rnacentral:rRNA from 1 species